AUAAGAGACAGGUGAAUCAUCGAAUCUUUGAACGCACCUUGCACCUUUUGGUAUUCCGAAAGGUAUGCCUGUUUGAGUGUCUUGAAACCUCACACUCUAGAGUUUUCUCUAGAGACGUGGAUUUGGGUGUUGCAAUUUGCUCACCUUGAAUGACUUAGUGGUUCCUACCGUAGCCUGAUGUAAUAAGUUUCAUCUGGUCAAGGGAAGACUGCUUCUAAUCGCCUUACGGCACUAUUUAAGACUAGACCUCAAAUCAGGUAGGACUACCCGCUGAACUUAAGCAUAUCAAUAAGCGGAGGA
rnacentral:misc_RNA from 1 species